rnacentral:rRNA from 1 species
UACGAGGGGGGCGAGCGUUGUUCGGAAUUACUGGGCGUAAAGCGUGCGUAGACGGUAGCGUAAGUCAGAUGUGAAAGCCCCGGGCUCAACCUGGGAAUGGCAUUUGAGACUGCUCUGCUCGGGUGCGGAAGAGGGAAGCGGAAUUUCCGGUGUAGCGGUGAAAUGCGUAGAUAUCGGGAGGAACACCUGUGGCGAAAGCGGCGCACUGGACCAUAACUGACGCUGAGGCGCGAAAGCUAGGGGAGCAAACAGG